rnacentral:rRNA from 1 species
UACGGAGGAUGCAAGCGUUAUCCGGAUUUAUUGGGCGUAAAGCGUCCGUAGGUGGUUAAUCAAGUCUAUUGUCAAGGCCUGGGGCUUAACCCUGGAGAGGCGGUGGAAACUGGUUGACUUGAGUGCGGUAGGGGCAGAGGGAAUUCCCAGUGUAGCGGUGAAAUGCGUAGAUAUUGGGAAGAACACCGGUGGCGAAAGCGCUCUGCUGGGCCUGCACUGACACUGAGGGACGAAAGCCAGGGGAGCGAACGGG